CGCGCACGUCCGUCUUCAAUCCAACCGCCCCUCGCAUCCCUUCAUUCUCACAGGUGCACGCGGGAGUUGUUGCCGCCGCCGAGCAUGUGGGCUCCGCCGCCCUACCGCCAGACGUGGACGCACGCGGCCGUCGCCGCCGCCGGGCACGUGGCCUCCAUCGCCCCGCCAUCUGGCGUGGAAGCACGCAGCCGUGGUUGUCGCCGCCGCCGUCUGAUGUGGACUCUGGCCGUCGCCGCCACCGGGCACGUGGCCUCUGCCGCCCAACCUGGACACACGUGGUCGUGGCCGUUGCCGCUGCGGCGGGCGUGGCCUUCGCCGGCCUGCUGCCCGGUGUGGAUGCACGCGGCCGUGGCCUCCGUCGCCCAGCCUCCGGGGACGUGUACGCAUGUGGGCGUUGCCGCUGUUAGGGACAUUGGCGCACACAGUAGAGAAAAGCUCCACCGCAACCUCUGUCGUAAGAAUAAGAUGAUUUCUCCUAUCUCUAAUCUACUUGCAAUCUGACAUCCAUUGCCAAUUUGGCUUUCUGGAAAUUCGGUGGCACAUGAAUUCUAAUUCUAAUUUGAACAUGGAGCACUAUUUUUUUUUCUUGUGAUAACCACCAAGCACGAACAUGCAGUGCAUGUAUAGCUCUUGCCGAGUGAAAUUUUUAUAUCAUAUUCCGUUGUCAAUUUACCCUUUGUUUGAGGACAAUAGGCUGUUCUCACAUUAGCAUACAUCUAAACUUCUAGAUUAUUUUUAAUACAUGGUCGUUUGAAGCACCCAUCUUUGUACUGUUUUUUGUGUGUAUGUAUGGUUUUUUUCCUUCUUCUGAAAGAAUCAUAUAUGCUUCGAGUUGACUGACGGGCAAUGCUAGAAAUCACUUGGAAGUUACAGGUGUGUUGGUGCAGAUUGCUUAAAAAAAAAUUCAUGUAUCACUUUUUUGUAACUCUGACAUUUAAUUUGUGUUCAAUUAUCUGUAGUACAACCUAACUAUUUGAUCUUCGGGAUGCUAAUUUGUGCACACACAGAAUAAAAAACCGGUAGCGAUGACAAUGUUUCCUGUGAAGAUCAAUACCUGCUACAUAUGCAUUGUUUCCUGUGACGAUCAAUUCCUACUACACCUACACUAGAUCCUGUGAUGCAUUGCGAGGCCUGGAACGACUUUAAUUUUGAAUAUAAUUUUACUUUCGGAGCUGUUUAGUCCAGCAAUGAAACACAUGUCAUUAUCCAGUCUGCUCGCACGAUUGGCACACACAACCACCGCCGACCAUCGUUAUCCGGCCAUAAUCCCGCCGUCCUCCUCGCAUCACCCUGCCGUGUGCCCCUGGCCGAUUUCCUCGAUACGCCAUCCAAGCGCGCGUAGCCACAAAAGCUCUUCAUCAUGGUAAGGCGCAGGUAGAUGACGACAAGCUGCAGAACAACAACUCGACAGUGGAGUACCGACGCGAUACUUGUCAUUGGGAAUCGGGAAGCAUGAUCAUAGCCCACUGUGUUGUAUAUUGUUUUCACCAAUGAGGGCCAGCUGCAUGACCAAUUGAUUUCUCCCUUCUAUCUGAUUGCCAGUCCGGUGAAGACUUUCCGAUAAUUUGUAUGUCUUUUUGGACUGGUCAUUACUUUCUGAAAUUAAGGUACGAUGAUUUGGAGGAAUUGAUGUGUAUGCACUGUUGUUACAUUGCAGGAUAGUGAAUUGUGAUAAUUUUACUAUUGUGUAUACCCUGUUCUACAUAAAAUUUUCCUUUAGCAUCUUAAAGAUAUUUCUCCACUUCAUUCUUGUUACUUUAUUUGCAGCCUGGUUAUAUGUUGUUUGUGCUCUCUCAUUACUAUCUCAGGCCUAUUAAUCCAUAUAUUAAUUGUUCCUGAAUUUCUACAGGCUCCCCUGAUCACCAUAUUUAUUUGGAAGCUACUAGAACAGGUCAAUCUUAGUUUGGGCUCUGUUGCAGCAAUAAGCCUGUGCUUUUUAAUCGUGUUUUAGCUAUUCAUUUUCAAGUGCACUAAAAAUCGACAUGUUUCAUAUUCCUCCAACAGUUUUGAGGUUCCAUACUUAACUCUUGCAUUUUGGUUACUGUAGAGGAGUAUGCUCAUAUGGUCAAGGCUGGUAUCAUCGACCCUGUAAAAGUGAUCCAAAAUGCACUUCAAGGUGCAGCAAGGUACAACUUCAGUUCUCUAACCAUGUACUUUAUGUAUGGCCAUGACAGAAGUAAUCAGACUUGUUUGACAAUUUGUGUUUCUGUACAAUGUUUAUCCGCUGAUCACAACCAUAGAGGUUGCAGAUGAACGACAGGUUUUGAGGACAGUGCGGCAUGAUGCUUGCGUGAAUUGUAUUAGGGUGCGCGCAUUCUGUCCAACGGGAUUUGACUGUACAUCUCUGUCCAUUACUUCAGGUGUGCAUUGAGCAUGCAUGAUUUGCCUGAUGAUAACAAUUGAUUUGCAGUUUUGGAUUAUAAUAUUUUUUGCGGGUCAGGUUUGGAUUAUAUCUAACUAGAAGGAUAUGGAUACUGCUCCAUUGGAAAGCUUUGAUAAUUUUGUUUUCUAGCUAGAAAAAGAUAACAACACGAGUGCUCAAGGUGAUAAAUAUGUUCACCUACAUUGCAAUGGGGCCAUAAAUAUUUUGUGUACCCACUAAUUUUUUGUUGUUGAUUCUGUUUAAGUAUAUUCUUGCUAAUUAGGAUCAAAAUGAUGACGUUAAUUUAGAGCACUUGUUGCCUUACUCCAUAGAUCUAUGACAUUCAACGGAGUUUGUUGAAGCAAUGGCGUCAAAACAUAAAGAAUGUUAUGGGAAGUAGGACUUGUAAGAAAAUAAUCUUAUUACAAGAAUGGAUAAAUAGUGUCAAUGAGAAAAUGUUAAAUCCCCUCUCUCCAUUUCCUUACCAUGAAUCUAACAUUUUUUUGAUCUGUUUUUAGCUUCUAGAUGUUCUGCAACUAUAUACACAAUAGAUACUGUCUGUCUAAAAUAUAGCUCCACUCCAUGAGAAGCUGAGAUAAACUAAGAAUGGGGCAAAGAAAUUCCGACUCUUCCUGCUCGCAGGCGGGCCUGGUAUGACUCCCAUGGGUAGCAUUACCGCAACUAUCGAGCCUUCAAAUUUUGAAGAUAACAAGUAGCCUGAAUCCAGGAAGAAAACUAAUUCAGUUCUGCCAAGACUACUAUUUUUUGGGUAUCUUUGUUCCAACUUUGCAUUGACACCACUUGGACAAUGUUUAUGUGUUCCUUUCAUUUUCGCCAACAAAAUAAACAUUCUGAAAUCUUUAUAGGAUAUUUGAUUCCAGUUUCACUAUACAAUAGACUAAAUAGGCUACGCCCUUACAUUCUCCGUGGAGAAGUUGUCCACCUAGUUGAUUGCCAUUUAUUUGUGACAUUUUUUGUACAGUUAUGAUUUAUGUGGUGUGUUUGGUACCGUCAAAAGAUGAUUGAUGGGUUUGUA